AUUGAACGCUGGCGGCAUGCUUUACACAUGCAAGUCGAACGGUAACAGGGACUUCGGUCUGCUGACGAGUGGCGAACGGGUGAGUAAUGCAUCGGAACGUACCGAGUAAUGGGGGAUAACGCAUCGAAAGGUGUGCUAAUACCGCAUACGCCCUGAGGGGGAAAGCGGGGGAUCGAAAGACCUCGCGUUAUUCGAGCGGCCGAUGCCGGAUUAGCUAGUUGGUGGGGUAAAGGCUCACCAAGGCGACGAUCCGUAGCAGGUCUGAGAGGACGAUCAGCCACACUGGGACUGAGACACGGCCCAGACUCCUACGGGAGGCAGCAGUGGGGAAUUUUGGACAAUGGGCGCAAGCCUGAUCCAGCAAUGCCGCGUGCAGGAUGAAGGCCUUCGGUUGUAACUAGCUUUGUUACGGAACGAACGGUGAGCUCUAAUACAGUUUGCUAAUGACGGUACCGUAAGAAUAAGACA
rnacentral:rRNA from 1 species